GACGAACGCUGGCGGCGUGCCUAAUACAUGCAAGUCGAGCGGAAGUUGGAGAGCUUGCUCUUCAACUUUAGCGGCGGACGGGUGAGUAACACGUGGGCAACCUGCCCUGCAGAUCGGGAUAACUCCGGGAAACCGGUGCUAAUACCGAAUAGUUUUCGCCACCUCCUGGUGGCGUACGGAAAGACGGUUUCGGCUGUCACUGCAGGAUGGGCCCGCGGCGCAUUAGCUAGUUGGUGGGGUAACGGCCCACCAAGGCAACGAUGCGUAGGCGACCUGAGGGGGUGACCGGCCACACGGGGACUGAGACACGGCCCAGACUCCUACGGGAGGCAGCAGUAGGGAAUCUUCCGCAAUGGACGAAAGUCUGACGGAGCAACGCCGCGUGAGUGACGAAGGUUUUCGGAUCGUAAAACUCUGUUGUGAGGGAAGAACAAGUACCAACUAACUACUGGUACCUUGACGGUACCUCACCAGAAAGCCACGGCUAACUACGUGCCAGCCGCCGCUGUAAAAC
rnacentral:rRNA from 1 species